CUAAGAUAUUGUGAAUUUAGAAACAUCAAAUUUGAGUUGCAUUGUAGUAUACUAUUUAUUUAAAAAAUCGAAAUAUAAAUGUACAAUUUCUUUCAUUUUACAGUCAAAAACCGAAGAGCGCCACGUUAUCUGUGCCCAAUAACCAACAAUCCAUGCACUCCAGAAGCAGAUUCCGACCCAGUACCCACUGUGUUUAUGGACUCUGAGGGUAUUAUUCCAGCAGGAAAAUAAAUUCUCAGACGACCACGUUGCAGAAGGCCAAUGCCCAUUAUUGAUGAUGAUACUGAUAAUGGAGACAUGAUUGAAGAAGAUCAUCUACAUAUCGAAACAGCCAGCAAUGAAAUACCUGAUGAGGAAGCACCAAAUAAUAAUGUGAUAGAAGAUUCGAUAUCUAAUAGUGAC